rnacentral:lncRNA from 1 species
GCGACAUGAGGGUUUUCAAUUGCAUUUUUUUUUAGUUACGGUUUAUUUUUCCUUUAUUUUUAAUGGGGUCUUCGUGAAUGAAAGUUUUGAAAAUGUAGUUUCAGCAUUAAUACUAUGUUCUCUCUGGGAUUUAAAAUAUGAACUUAGAAUGAUUUUUUUCCUCUCUUGUAUGUCAAUCAUUUACGAUUAUUUAUUCGUGAAUCUAUCUCUCCAUAUUUACAUGUUCAAACUUUUACAGGGGUUCAAAUAUCUACAACGUAUAUAAUGAUUUAGGAUUCUAAAUGAAGAUUGGCAUCUUGUCUGGAUAUAUAUUAUGCCAAGUUGAGACUUCUUUUACAGCUUUAACAACAAACAAAAAUUAUCUGGUAAUCAUGAAUCUAUCUUUCCAAUUUUACCUGUCAAAAGUGUACAGGAG